GCUGAAAAUUGAGUCAAUUUUUGGGAAAUUAUUGUACCUUAGGUGAUUUUGUAGAGACAUUCCUUGACUAAGUUACUGGAAAAUGUGCUCCCUGUUUACUGCCAUCAAAACUAAAAGGGAUAUUCUUAGUGGAGAAAACGAAUUGAAUUACUUGACCUUGGAACUGAUAUACACCUGCCAAUGAUCAUAUGAAACUACCUAAUGACUUCCUGGGCCCAAAUCAAGUGAUUUAUUUAGAAAAACAAAUCACAGGUCACAGGAGCUCAACCAUCCUAAAAAUUCAUCACAUUGGCUCAACAUGUUUAAUUUCAAGGGAUCCCUCGAGGACUUUUCCUAUCACUCUGCUCCCUAUGUCACCUCCAGUCUGCAUGGGUAGAGAUCAGAAGCUUAAUGUGUUUCCUUGAAGAACCCAUCAACUACAUUUCUUUUGGUCACUGGAAGUGUGUAUAAAAGAAUCAGAAACCUCCCCUUGUGAUCAAAGGCUAGUACUCCUGUGGGAUUCAGUUACACCUUUAGACAAGAAGUUUGAAGUAAAGAUAAAAUUAUAAUAAAGACAGGCAGCGCAGAAGCCUGUUAUUUGACCUUGCUGAGUCUCACAUUCCAUGCUAUUGCUGGCCUAUGCCAACUGAAGUAUUCUCGUAAGCAGACUGGAAAUACAAUGAGUUUUUGUCCGAAGGUGAUGUGGAAUGCCUUCUAUAUUUUACUGUGUUUUUUUCUAGAGUAACUCUGACAUAAGCCUAACUGUCAUCUAGCACCUGGCUUUUCAUGGGCCACAGCAUCAGCAUUACUAGGAAGCUUGUUAGAAAUUAAAAAUCUCAAGUUGUUUCAGACCUACUGGAGCAGAAUCUUCAUUUUAAAAAGAUCACCAGAUUAUUUCUGUGCACGCUGAAAUUUUAGAAGCCCUGCUCUACAUUGUCCUUAUUUGAUUGACGUCAACACAUAACUUCUGUGCUAGCCAGUAGCUUCUCUUGACCUUACAAUUCAGAAUUUUCUGUGAUUUUUCUCUUACUACCUUUUUCUUCUUCACUGGAUAAAUAGAAAAUAUUUGAUGAGGG
rnacentral:lncRNA from 1 species